CAUGGCUCAGAACGUACGCUGGCGGCACGCUUAACACAUGCAAGUCGAACGAAGUAGCAAUACUUAGUGGCAGACGGGUGAGUAACAUGUGGGUAUCUGCCCUUUGGCCUGGAAUAACACGAGGAAACUUGUGCUAAUACCGGAUAAGUCUUUACAGAGAAAGCUUUAUGCACCAUUGGAUGAGCCCGCACUUGAUUAGUUUGUUGGUAGGGUAAUGGCCUACCAAGACUGUGAUCAAUAGCUGAUUUGAGAGGAUGAUCAGCCACAUUGGGACUGAGACACGGCCCAAACUCCUACGGGAGGCAGCAGUGGGGAAUCUUGCACAAUGGAGGAAACUCUGAUGCAGCGAUGCCGCGUGAGUGAAGAAGGCCCUUGGGUUGUAAAGCUCUUUCGUCGGGGAAGAAAAUGACUGUACCCGAAUAAGAAGGUCCGGCUAACUUCGUGCCAGCAGCCGCGGUAAUACGAAGGGACCUAGCGUAGUUCGGAAUUACUGGGCUUAAAGAGUUCGUAGGUGGUUGAAAAAGUUGGUGGUGAAAUCCCAGAGCUUAACUCUGGAACUGCCAUCAAAACUUUUCAGCUAGAGUAUGAUAGAGGAAAGCAGAAUUUCUAGUGUAGAGGUGAAAUUCGUAGAUAUUAGAAAGAAUACCAAUUGCGAAGGCAGCUUUCUGGAUCAUUACUGACACUGAGGAACGAAAGCAUGGGUAGCGAAGAGGAUUAGAUACCCUCGUAGUCCAUGCCGUAAACGAUGUGUGUUAGACGUUGGAAAUUUAUUUCAGUG
rnacentral:rRNA from 1 species